AUAAUAAUAACAAAUAAUCACGCAAUGACGUGCACUUGCUAGCCUGUUCCAUUGUACAUGUUCUCCGAAUGCUAAGGAGGAGCCUGGCCUAGCCUCUGAAGGAUCCUUCCUUGGAAGGACUAGUCCUACCAAGGAAGGAUCCUUGACAUUGAGAAACGGCUUCU